AGCGAACGCUGGCGGCAGGCCUAACACAUGCAAGUCGAACGAACUCUUCGGAGUUAGUGGCGGACGGGUGAGUAACACGUGCGAACGUGCCUUUUGGUUCGGAAUAACUCAGGGAAACUUGUGCUAAUACCGAAUGUGCCCUUCGGGGGAAAGAUUUAUCGCCAUUAGAGCGGCCCGCGUCUGAUUAGCUAGUUGGUGAGGUAACGGCUCACCAAGGCGACGAUCAGUAGCUGGUCUGAGAGGAUGACCAGCCACACUGGGACUGAGACACGGCCCAGACUCCUACGGGAGGCAGCAGUGGGGAAUCUUGCGCAAUGGGCGAAAGCCUGACGCAGCCAUGCCGCGUGAAUGAUGAAGGUCUUAGGAUUGUAAAAUUCUUUCACCGGGGACGAUAAUGACGGUACCCGGAGAAGAAGCCCCGGCUAACUUCGUG
rnacentral:rRNA from 1 species